AUGGCUUCAGUCAGAGUAAAAAAGCAGCCUCCUUUCCUUGCCUGCACAGCACGCUGCUUCCAGAUGGGUGACUUAUGUAACUCUGUAGGAGACACCAAGUUGAGGUCUGAGGCAUGCAGAGGAAACACAAGAAGAAAUCAACCAAGAGAAGAGAGGAGAGGAAGCCUCAGGGUAGCCAAGAACGUCACUCUUGCUGCAAUCCUCAGCCCUCAUUCCUUUCUGACCCCUACAAGGACUGACAGGUCUGGGAGACAGGAAAGUUUGAUGGGCUCCAUCAAAGUCACACAUUUCUAACUGCUUAAGAAAAGUUUCUCUUCUUUCUAUGCUAAUGCCACUGUAACAGUGCAACUCUUUUAGAAUAUGAGGUAUCCUUAAGCCUGUCUCUUAUUUUCUUUCCUCUGAUUCCUGCCUUUUUGCAUCCUUCAUGAUGUAUCUUUGUCAUGUAUGACUCCAGAGUCCUCCCUCUGUUUCUGUCUCCUAUUCCUUUGUCUCUGUUGAAGAUUUCAGUGCAGGGAUGGAAGAAUGGAAAUGUGCUGUUGCAAAUGCAACUUCAUAUCCUCAUUUUUCUCCACUGUUCUAAUGAUGGUUAUUAAUGGGAGCUGCUCAGCUGUGAUACUUUUGUUGCCUUCUCCAUUCAAGAAGGCAAUACCUUGUGCAGCUCAGUGUAAGAUCCAUGGUAGCUGACUAAAAUACUGCCUAGAUACUGACAAAAAAGGAGUGAAACCCUUUCCAAAUGAUUUGCUCUCUUGGCUAUGCUCCUGCAUCACUGUUUCCUACAGGAUGCACAGUACUUUAUUGCCUGUGAUGGGAAAUCAGGGAAUCCUACAGAGUGACAAUUUCCUUCAGUCUCCAGUUCCUUGCUGACACUUUAUCGGUUCACAACAAGCAAAAGUAAGUGUAUCACUUACACUGAGAGAGACAAGAAAGUACAUUUUCUGCAUCUUGAAUCUUUCACUGAGCUCUAUCCCAUCUGUCAAUGUCUCUUUGAUGUGCAGAUACAAGCGUUUGAAAUUCCCUUGAUCUCAAACAAUGGUAAUACCCACUGCCUUAGCCAUAGCAAUAGAAGUUCCUCUUUGCUGCCACAAGGCAACACACAUUUAGCUGAUUACAUGUUGGGACCUCUACAAUACUUACAGCAACCGUACUUUUCAAGAUCUCAGUCUACAUGUCUCAGAAUCCACACUCAGUGUUUAUGAGUGUGAUAAAACCUAUGCCUGUUCAAACAAGUUUACACCAUCUGUCUAUUCAAGGUCUGCAGAGACACACUAGUUUGUGCAACUGCUGUAUUACAGCAUUAUUUACCACUAUUUAUAUGAAAAUACUUAUGUUGUCAACACUUACUGUAUGUACUUUGUCUAGAUUUGCAAGAUAAUGAAUCUUUGUGCUCAGUAAAAUAAUCUAUUUCUCUAUUUCAUGUGCUCCUGUCAAUAUAAUCAUCAACUUUUAAUUCCCUUAAUAUGACACAUUUUACUGGAAUUCCAGUCAUAUGAAAUGGAGUGUAUAUUCAGGGGUGAGCUGCCAACAUUUUCUAUAAUCUACCUGUUGAGAUAAAUAAAAGCUUUGUUUUCCAAAUCA
ensembl:lncRNA